rnacentral:rRNA from 1 species
GUGGGGAAUAUUGGACAAUGGGCGCAAGCCUGAUCCAGCCAUGCCGCGUGAGUGAUGAAGGCCCUAGGGUUGUAAAGCUCUUUCAGUGGGGACGAUAAUGACGGUACCCACAGAAGAAGCCCCGGCUAACUUCGUGCCAGCAGCCGCGGUAAUACGAAGGGGGCUAGCGUUGUUCGGAGUUACUGGGCGUAAAGCGCACGUAGGCGGAUCGUUAAGUCGAGGGUGAAAUCCUGGAGCUCAACUCCAGAACUGCCUGUAAUACUGCCAGUCUAGAGUCCAGAAGAGGUGAGUGGAACUCCUAGUGUAGAGGUGGAAUUCGUAGAUAUUAGGAAGAACACCAGUGGAGAAGGCGGCUCACUGGUCUGGUACUGACGCUGAGGUGCGAAAGCGUGGGGAGCAAACAGGAUUAGAAACCCCGGUAGUCC